rnacentral:rRNA from 1 species
GACGAACGCUGGCGGCGUGCUUAACACAUGCAAGUCGAACGGAAAGGCCCUGCUUUUGUGGGGUGCUCGAGUGGCGAACGGGUGUGUAACACGUGAGUAACCUGCCCUUGACUUUGGGAUAACUUCACGAAACUGGGGCUAAUACCGGAUAGGAGCUCCUGCUGCAUGGUGGGGGUUGGUAAGUUUCGGCGGUUGGGGAUGGACUCGCGGCUUAUCAGCUUGUUGGUGGGGUAGUGGCUUACCAAGGCUUUGACGGGUAGCCGGCCUGAGAGGGUGACCGGCCACAUGGCGACUGAGAUACGGCCCAGACUCCUACGGGAGGCAGCAGUGGGGAAUAUUGCACAAUGGGCGGAAGCCUGAUGCAGCAACGCCGGGUGCGGGAUGACGGCCUUCGGGGUGUAAACCGCUUUGGCCUGUGACGAAGCGUGAGUGACGGUAAUGGGUAAAGAAGCACCGGCUAACUACGUG